rnacentral:rRNA from 1 species
AUUGAACGCUGGCGGCAGGCCUAACACAUGCAAGUCGAGCGGAUGAAGGGAGCUUGCUCCUGGAUUCAGCGGCGGACGGGUGAGUAAUGCCUAGGAAUCUGCCUGGUAGUGGGGGAUAACGUCCGGAAACGGGCGCUAAUACCGCAUACGUCCUGAGGGAGAAAGUGGGGGAUCUUCGGACCUCACGCUAUCAGAUGAGCCUAGGUCGGAUUAGCUAGUUGGUGGGGUAAAGGCCUACCAAGGCGACGAUCCGUAACUGGUCUGAGAGGAUGAUCAGUCACACUGGAACUGAGACACGGUCCAGACUCCUACGGGAGGCAGCAGUGGGGAAUAUUGGACAAUGGGCGAAAGCCUGAACCAGCCAUGCCGCGUGUGUGAAGAAGGGCUUCGGAUUGUAAAGCACUUUAAGUUGGGAGGAAGGGCAGUAAGUUAAUACCUUGCUGUUUUGACGUACCAACAGAAUAAGCACCGGCUAACUUCGUG